rnacentral:ncRNA from 1 species
CGACGUGGCGGCCCACGACAUCAACUACGUAAAGAACCAAGAGAAAUAACCCCACCCGACCCCACCCGGUCUCUACCUGACCCACCCCCCCAGGGCUCGUCACUCACACGGGUGAGGUUUGGCAACUGGGCUGGAUUUCGGGCCGGUUGGCAGGCAUAUGCUCACGCAACACCACCAGACAUGCGUCGGCCCCCAAUCAGGACUGCAAUCCCGAUCGAGGGCCUGACCACCGAGGAAGUUCGGAGCUUCCCG